UACGUAGGGCGCAAGCGUUGUCCGGAAUUAUUGGGCGUAAAGAGCUCGUAGGCGGCUUGUCGCGUCGACUGUGAAAUCCCGCGGCUCAACUGCGGGUCUGCAGUCGAUACGGGCAGGCUAGAGUUCGGUAGGGGAGACUGGAAUUCCUGGUGUAGCGGUGAAAUGCGCAGAUAUCAGGAGGAACACCGAUGGCGAAGGCAGGUCUCUGGGCCGAUACUGACGCUGAGGAGCGAGAGCGUGGGGAGCGAACAGG
rnacentral:rRNA from 1 species